rnacentral:rRNA from 1 species
CACACAUUGUGAGCUCGAUGAGUAGGGCGGGACACGUGGUAUCCUGUCUGAAUAUGGGGGGACCAUCCUCCAAGGCUAAAUACUCCUGACUGACCGAUAGUGAACCAGUACCGUGAGGGAAAGGCGAAAAGAACCCCGGCGAGGGGAGUGAAAAAGAACCUGAAACCGUGUACGUACAAGCAGUGGGAGCCUCUUAAUGGGGUGACUGCGUACCUUUUGUAUAAUGGGUCAGCGACUUAUAUUCUGUAGCAAGGUUAACCGAAUAGGGGAGCCGAAGGGAAACCGAGUCUUAACUGGGCGUUAAGUUGCAGGGUAUAGACCCGAAACCCGGUGAUCUAGCCAUGGGCAGGUUGAAGGUUGGGUAACACUAACUGGAGGACCGAACCGACUAAUGUUGAAAAAUUAGCGGAUGACUUGUGGCUGGGGGUGAAAGGCCAAUCAAACCGGGAGAUAGCUGGUUCUCCCCGAAAGCUAUUUAGGUAGCGCCUCGUGAAUUCAUCUCCGGGGGUAGAGCACUGUUUCGGCAAGGGGGUCAUCCCGACUUACCAACCCGAUGCAAACUGCGAAUACCGGAGAAUGUUAUCACGGGAGACACACGGCGGGUGCUAACGUCCGUCGUGAAGAGGGAAACAACCCAGACCGCCAGCUAAGGUCCCAAAGUCAUGGUUAAGUGGGAAACGAUGUGGGAAGGCCCAGACAGCCAGGAUGUUGGCUUAGAAGCAGCCAUCAUUUAAAGAAAGCGUAAUAGCUCACUGGUCGAGUCGGCCUGCGCGGAAGAUGUAACGGGGCUAAACCAUGCACCGAAGCUGCGGCAGCGACACUAUGUGUUGUUGGGUAGGGGAGCG